ACCCACUGUUCUCAUGGCAGCCGACUCAGGAACCUCCUCAGCACCACAAUCCUUCAUAAGAUGCAGGGAUGGCAAGACCAUCCAGAAGAUCCAAGGAGCCUGGCUGCAGGUCUCUGACUCUGAAGACGUCCAGAGCGGUUUAACACAAAGGGCUGUGGAGCCGCUGAUCCGCAGCUCAGGACCGGUUUGUGCAGGGUCAGCUCCGCGGCUGCGAAGAUAGAAACGCCGCACGGACAGAACCGGCGGAGCUGCAGGCAGGAACCGCACCGACUGCUGCGCCAAGCGGCAGAGGGACCUCCUGGAGGACAGCAGCAGCCAGGCCUGCCGCGAUCACAGCUUUUCCCAG